rnacentral:rRNA from 1 species
CGUGUAGGCGGGAAGGAAAGUCAGACGUGAAAUCCCCAGGCUCAACCUGGGAACUGCGUUUGAAACUCCCUUUCUUGAGUACCGGAGAGGAAAGCGGAAUUCCUGGUGUAGAGGUGAAAUUCGUAGAUAUCAGGAGGAACACCAGCGGCGAAGGCGGCUUUCUGGACGGUAACUGACGCUGAGACGCGAAAGCGUGGGGAGCAAACA